UACGUAGGUGGCAAGCGUUGUCCGGAUUUAUUGGGCGUAAAGCGAGCGCAGGCGGUUCCUUAAGUCUGAUGUGAAAGCCCACGGCUCAACCGUGGAAGGUCAUUGGAAACUGGGGAACUUGAGUGCAGAAGAGGAGAGUGGAAUUCCAUGUGUAGCGGUGAAAUGCGUAGAUAUAUGGAGGAACACCAGUGGCGAAGGCGACUCUCUGGUCUGUAACUGACGCUGAGGCUCGAAAGCGUGGGGAGCAAACAGGAUUAGAUACCCCCGUAGUCC
rnacentral:rRNA from 1 species